AAAUGACUCUCGGCAACGGAUAUCCCGGCUCUCGCAUCGAUGAAGAACGUAGCGAAAUGCGACACUUGGUGUGAAUUGCAGAAUCCCGUGAACCAUCGAGUCUUUGAACGCAAGUUGCGCCCGAAGCCAUUAGGCCGAGGGCACGUCUGCCUGGGUGUCACGC
rnacentral:rRNA from 1 species